rnacentral:lncRNA from 1 species
GGAAUGCAAGAUUGAAGUAGAAAACAGUGAGGGAGAAAGAGAGUGUUGGUGUUUUUACACUGCUGAGAGCAAGACGAGGUGCCUCUUUUAUAUAGCCUCCAAGAGGUGAGGUUCAUCGAAUCUGGACAUCAUAAUGUGAUGGAAGUUGCUAGUAAUUGAUGGGAAUAAUGCACUAGUAACUCUUAGCAUUUUAUUGGCUGUGUUAAUUGAGUGAAUCAAUUCUCAUAACAGCAAUAAUCACCUCUCCUCAACUUCCCAUUCAAAAUUGACCAAUUAGUAAAUCCUAACAUUUAUCAUGGACCUCUUAAUUCUUAUUUAAUUAAUUGAAAUAAAUGGGCCUAACCCAAUUAAUCCAACAUGUGUGAGAUCGACGAAACAUUCUAGCAAAAAUGGGGACAAACAUUUGGCAAGAAGAUGGGAGCUUUCAUUACUUAUUUAUGACGUGCAUAUGAUGUUUUUCAUUAAGAAUAAGAGAAUUACACGAUGCAACUUCAGGAGAAACGCUAAAGUGUAGAGUUACAAGAUCCACGACCAACAACAAACAACAUAAACACGACAACAGACAAGAAAACCACCUCACCACCACCACACUAAAUACAACCUAAGACGAC